UACGAGAUGGUUGAGAAUAAACAAUAAACUGUAAAUUUAUAUACGGGUUAAUGACCCUCUUGUAU
rnacentral:tRNA from 1 species